GCUUACGGCCACACCGCCUGGUUCACGCCUUGUUCACGCUUGAUCUCGGAAGCUAAGAUAGGGUGGGCCAGGUUAGUACUUGGAUGGGAGACCGCCUGGGAAUACCAGGUGCUGUAAGCU
ensembl:rRNA 5S_rRNA 5S ribosomal RNA